rnacentral:rRNA from 1 species
CCUACGGGUGGCAGCAGUGAGGAAUAUUGGUCAAUGGGCGCGAGCCUGAACCAGCCAAGUAGCGUGAAGGAUGACUGCCCUACGGGUUGUAAACUUCUUUUAUCAAGGAAUAAAGUGAGCCACGUGUGCCUUUUUGUAUGUACUUUAUGAAUAAGGCUUGGCUAACUCCGUGCCAGCAGCCGCGGUAAUACGGAGGAUCCGAGCGUUAUCCGGGUUUAUUGGGUUUAAAGGGAGCGUUGGUGGGUAUGUAAGGUAGUUGGGAAAGUUUGCGGCUCAACCGUAAAAUUGCAAUUGAUACUGGCAGUCUUGAGUACAGUUGAGGUAUGCGGAAUUCGUGGUGUAGCGGUGAAAUGCUUAGAUAUCACGAAGAACUCCGAUUGCGAAGGCAGCUUACUAAACUGCCACUGACAUUGAAGCUCGAAAGUGUGGGUAUCGAACAGGAUUAGAUACCCCAGUAGUC